ensembl:lncRNA
CUAAACCCAAAGAGAACUGUUUCCCUGAGAUUCUAUUUAAAUAAAGGUCCUGAUGAAAUCCACAUACCUUACUGUCAACCGAAGUGAUACUGAUUGACAGGGGAAAGAACUUCAGCUGGCAAGAAACAGGACGUCAUUGUGGAUUGAGGAAGUUUACCCCCAAAUUUUGAGGCUGAGAUGGAAAACGGAACUCCUGGCAUAAUUGCAUCGGCGGAGACCAGACCACAGAAUCUACAGGAUCAUCUUUCACUUUUAAUAUAUUGUGAAAAAUGUAAAAGUUAUCUAUUUGUUUUCUCUUGAUCAUAACAACUGAUUAACAGUUGGGCAGGUUAGUUCACAGAAGCAUGCAUUCAAAGCUAAGGUUCUAGAACAUGGUGUGUGUUAUAUGGAAAAAUCA